UUAGAGUAGAAGCAGGAAUUUGACGACUUGUAUUCGUACCGCUCGACUUACCGAACAGCAGCCCCUGCUAUUUUCAUUCCUCCUCGCCAUUAUUCGCUAGAUAAACCGUGGAGUGAGGUGUCAGUUUAAUGUCGGAGACUGAAGUGGUUAGACGUCGCGAUACGACGUUUGGUAGUUACGUUUUUUAUUGCUCGAUCACAGAGAAAAUUUCAAGAUAUGGAAGGAUGUCAUCAAUUUCAAAUUGCCAUUUCUUUUAUUGCUCAGUUCUGUUUAACAGACAAAAAAAAAUUUCUUCUAAUCUUCACUUCUUUCACGGGAUUCGACGAUUCCUAUUUAACGAUGGCGGCUUCAUAAUAACUUUCCUUGGACCAUAACGAUAUCAAUGACAACUAAUUAACUAAUUGGUCGC